rnacentral:rRNA from 1 species
UACGGGGGGGGCAAGCGUUGUUCGGAAUUACUGGGCGUAAAGGGCUCGUAGGUGGCCAACUAAGUCAGACGUGAAAUCCCUCGGCUUAACCGGGGAACUGCGUCUGAUACUGGAUGGCUUGAAUCCGGGAGAGGGAUGCGGAAUUCCAGGUGUAGCGGUGAAAUGCGUAGAUAUCUGGAGGAACACCGGUGGCGAAGGCGGCAUCCUGGACCGGUAUUGACACUGAGGCGCGAAAGCCAGGGGAGCAAACGGG